rnacentral:rRNA from 1 species
CCUACGGGUGGCAGCAGUGGGGAAUAUUGGACAAUGGGGGGAACCCUGAUCCAGCGACGCCGCGUGAGUGAAGAAGUAUUUCGGUAUGGAAAGCUCUAUCAGCAGGGAAGAAAAUGACGGUACCUGACUAAGAAGCCCCGGCUAACUACGUGCCAGCAGCCGAGGUAAUACGGAGGGGGCAAGCGUUAUCCGGAUUUAGGGGGUGGAAAGGGAGGGUAGACGGUGCAGCAAGUCUGAUGGGAAAGGUCGGGGCCCAACCCCGGGACUGCAUUGGAAACUGUUGAACUUGAGUACAGGAGAGGUAAGCGGAAUUCCUGGUGUAGCGGUGAAAUGCGUAGAUAUUAGGAGGAAGACCAGUGGCGAAGGCGGCUUACUGGACUGUAACUGACGUUGAGGCUCGAAAGCGUGGGGAGCAAACAGGAUUAGAUACCCUGGUAGUC